AUGAGGAUUUUUAUUAAAAUUAGUACCAUAUACAAAUGAAACCUUUUUAUUUAAAUUAGGAACUUUUUGAGUUGAUUUUAUAUUUUUCAGAAAAACGUUACCUAUAACUUAAAAUAAUAUUAGUAUUAGUUGUCGUGUCAUCACCCUUCUGACAUUUUAUACGAGAAAAGUUAAAAGAAUAUUUUGAAGAAAGGGUUAAAAUAGACAAGGUUAAACUAUCCAGUGGUUGACAACCCUUCCAGUCAACGACGUUUUGUCACAAAAUAAUAGGCUAAGCAAACACCAACUGAAGUAAAGUGCCGAAACAGCGUCUGAGAUGAUUGCCUUUCUUUUCUUUUUAGAUGAAAGAAGUUAAGCUACUUUAAACAUAAAAAUGAACACAUACGAUGGUUUGCACUAAAAAAGGUUUUGGGGCCAUCUAUAAAGGAUCUCAUGCCAAUAGAGGGCGAAAGGGUUUUUAGAUAAAAACCACUAAAAAGGAGAAGGGAGAGGAAAGGAGGUUGAAAGAAAAGCACGUCUCUUUAAAGAUUUUUUAACAUCUAUAUUUUUAAUAUUUUUGUUAACAUUGAAUCAUAUAUGUGUUACUUUAUAGAAACAUAUGUAAACAUGUAUUUUAUUGGUUUAUUGUUAAAGAA